ensembl:miRNA
UAUUAGGUUGGUGCAAAAGUAAUUGCGGUUUUUGCCAUUGAAAGUAAUGCAAAACUGCAAUUACUUUUGCACCAACCUAA